UAAAGGGUGAUGAAAGGGAGUCCUCUC
rnacentral:piRNA from 1 species